rnacentral:rRNA from 1 species
UACGGAGGGGGCAAGCGUUGUCCGGAUUUACUGGGCGUAAAGAGCGCGCAGGCGGUCGUUCAAGUCGCGUGUGAAAGCCCCCGGCUCAACUGGGGAGGGUCACGCGAUACUGAUCGACUCGAAGGCAGGAGAGGGUAGUGGAAUUCCCGGUGUAGUGGUGAAAUGCGUAGAUAUCGGGAGGAACACCAGUGGCGAAGGCGACUACCUGGCCUGUUCUUGACGCUGAGGCGCGAAGGCUAGGGGAGCGAACGGG